CUUAAGCUGGUGUUUAUUGUCUGUUGAUUUAAAGUGAUGAGUAACGGGUUUAUAAAUUUCAACAAAAGUUACUGCAACAAGUUAACAGUUUUCAGGAAUCAAAUGAGAAGAGAAAAGAUCACUUCAUCUUAUUUCCCUUUUUUCACCCUUCUUCCAUUCCUCCCACCUUUCCUCCUACCCACCCACCUCUACUCCACCCUGACACUCUCUUUUUUUAAAUUGUGCUCAUAAAACAACAACAGUAACUACCAUUCAUUUACUAUUCAUCAACGGCAGUAAAAAAAAGGUUGAAGACUUUGCUGAUUAACUUUACGUAUCAGUGAAUCACAGAUUCGUUUACCAUGCAUGGUUAACAUGGAUCAUUUUAUGCCAAACUAUCCAUUCUUUUAAUUUCCUUUUCUUCAUCGUCUUAAUUUUUCUUUUCUUUGCUCGGACUUCUUACCAUCUGAACUUGACCUGAUUGUGUUAUUACAAGGAUACACAAUGACUAUUGAACCCAGUUUGAAUCAAUAUUGUUCACCUGUUGGGUUAAUCUUGACAAAUCAACCAGAUCUAAGUAAUUCAGAAGCUUUGAUAUGGUUCCAAUGGAUAAAGAUGGAUUACAAAGAGAUGAAUACCUAUGAUGGGAAGAAAGUUAACAACUUGUAAUACCUUAAUUGUUAAGGAAUACCAUUAUUUAGUCACAAUUAGAAUGAAAUCAAAGUGAUAAACAGGAAGGGUGUUAAACGGAAACUGAGUUGACUUGUUUUGUUUUCUCAUUGAAGGUAAAAGAAUAAAAAAGAUGAAAAGAAACAGAAGUCAACAAAAGUUAAGACUCUAGAAUGUUUCUUGAGAAAAGAAAGUUCAUCAAAGGUUCAAUAAAUACAAUCAUCAGCACCAGUUGAAGUUACGUUUUAUUGGCCUCACUCAACCACUUGAAGCCUGUGAAUAUGAAAUGACAUUAACUCCAUCAACAUAAUCCAACAUAAAUCUUCAUUAUGUAUUGUAAUAUAUUUUACAUUCUGAAAACUUCUCAAUGCUUCUCCUCAUUUCAUUGCAGUUCCCUCUCCCCCUUACCUUAAUCAAUUUCACAGUCAUCGCAAUAACAGUAAUCAAGUCCAGCUAAAGUAAACCGUUGAAACAAGGAGGACAAAAACCUGAUCCUGUUAUGAUGGUGGGAAUUUUGAUAUGAUUUUACUUUCCAUCAACUCAUGUUUUUCCUUUUUCUCUUCCUCACCUUGUUUAAUAUUUUACUCAUAAGAUGCUCAGUCCAGCGAUAACCUUUGGUUUGUUUGGAUUUUAGGUUGAUUAAGAGUGGCCAUUUUCCUCAUCACUAUGUGCCUGUAGCAAUUUCAACCAAGAUUGAGAAUACUUUUUUGGAUAAUUUGUUUUUUUUCUACUCUUCUUUCUUCUUAAAAUCAGAUAUGAUUAGAUAAUUGUUUGUCGAGAUGAUUUGUUGACGCUUAAUAGUAACCUGGACACUCUUACUCGUAGUCUGUCAUCAUCCUCAACCUUUAUUUCAACAGCUUUAACAGUUUGCACUUUUCGUUUUUCCUUCCAUUCUUUAAAACUUGACGUGAUGGACGGUUUUAGAUAAUUGUUGAAAAAGAUUUCCGAAAAAAACUGUUUUAGAGAGUAAUCAACGAAGAAAUAUUAAAAUUCAAGUCUGGUCUUUUAAUUGUCACAAAGAUUAAAAAUGAAUUAUCCAAAGUCCAGGCAAAAGAGUGAGAUAUUAAAAGCAACAAUUCACUACUUACAUCUUUCAAUUGUUAAUGUCAUCGCUUGAAGAUAUCAGUCAAAAAAAUAAAUUGAAUGGCAAAUUAAGGAAAUAUGUCAUUAAAAGUCUAGAACAGUAAUUGUUUCAAACAAUUUGUUUGAUU